UACAGGAGGGACAGCGUUGGUCGAAUUACUGGGCGUAAAGGGCGCGUAGGCGGCCCGCUAAGUCGAACGUGAAAUCCCCGGGCUCAACCCGGGAACUGCGUCCGAUACUGGUGGGCUCGAAUCCGGGAGAGGGAUGUGGAAUUCCAGGUGUAGCGGUGAAAUGCGUAGAUAUCUGGAGGAAUACCGGUGGCGAAGGCGGCAUCCUGGACCGGCAUUGACGCUGAUGAGCGAAAAGCUAGGGGAGCAAACGGGG
rnacentral:rRNA from 1 species